GGACGGCCGGAGACGCGGGGUCAGGGCGCGGACGAGGGGAGCGCAGGGUCGGAGGGGCUCCCGGGCGCUGCCCGCCCAGCGUCGGCUCUCGUUGGCCCCUGGCCGCGCGCAGCGGGCCCGACUCUCAGGGCCCUGCGGUGCCCGCUGCCAGCGCGAGGGCUCCGGUCACGCGGCGCGCGAGACGAACGAGCGAGAUGCUUCCCGAAGCGCGGGGCCCAGUGCAGGGGCUCAGCCGGGGCUCCUCCCAAAGCUCACCUGGAGCCCAGCACGACUGCGUUCUGGAAACGCUGUGUUUGACAGCAGGGGCAGGAUAGGGGGCUGUGUAGACACUGGCCACGUGGCAAUUGUAGGAGAACCAUGGGAUCGAUAAAUGUUCACUGUUGUCCCUGAAGCGCAAAACUGCAGGGCUCUGGAGAGUCCGUGUGUGUGUUUUUGUUGUUGUUUUUGUUUGUUUGAGACAGAGUCUCGCUCUUUCACCCAGGCUGGAGUGCAGUGGCGCGAUCGCUGCUCACUGCAACCUCCGCCUCCCGGGUUCAAGCGAUUCUCCUGCCUCAGCCUCCCGAGUAGCUGGGACUGCAGGCGGCCGCCACCACGCCCGGCUAAUUUUUUGUAUUUUUAGUAGAGACGGGGUUUCACCGUGUUAGCCAGGAUGGUCUUGAUCUGACCUCGUGAUCUGCCCGUCUCGGCCUCCCAGAGUGCUGGGAUUACAGGCGUGAGCCACCGCGCCUGGCCGAAAAGUCCGUUUUAAAAGAUGAUGUAUACAAAUUAUGGCACGGAGAGAGAACCGGCAAGUUGUUUCCUCUUUCCAUGCCUCCAACUCCUCUGAAAUGUGGGUCAUGAUGAUAAUAGGAAAAACUGUCUCUGCCAUAGAGAGGUGGAAAAAGUCCCGCGAAGUGUCCCCGGUAUCUAGAAAGCGCUCAGUAGUGUUUGCUGUUAUCUUAGGGAUAUCAGGCUGCCUGGACAUUUCUCAGAGGAUGAAGGGGAUUGUAGGAAGGAAGACCACCUUCCCGGGGCUGGGCAAGGCUGCAGUACUGUCUCUCAUCAGGUCCAGGAGGACUCAGCAGGCUGAUGCAGAGGGACACAGCGCAUCCGCCUUGGUGGAUGCAUGGCUUUCCUGGCUCCCCUGGGACAGGGGAGGAGGGUGAAGAUGGAGGGAAUCUGGCUGGCUGGGCCUUGUGUACUGGGGGGUGGAGGGCCCAUUUGACUGCAGGAAUUGCUCAAGCACAUAAGCACCUUGAAGUGUGUUACUAAGAUACAAGAAACAGGUUUGCUUUUGCCUAUUCCAGCAUGGUGUACCUCUCUUAGGAUACCUUUUAGCACAGGUAGCAGAAUACCAGCCAGCCUCCUGUGGCUCACAGCAUUAAGAUAUUUAAUCAUCUGACAUUACAUGAAGUCCAGUGUUAGGCAGGCAGGAGCUGCUCCCGUGACUCAGUGACAUCAGGUUGGUCCACAUCCUAGCAGUUCUCUUGGUGUUCCUGCGUGAUCAAAGGAUGACUGCCACACCCCAGCCUGCUGACCUCAGCCCUGGCGUGGGCAUAGGAGGGUCUGCGUGGCUGAGCAUCCAGUGUCCUUCGUACUGCCACUGACAGCCUCAGGCCUGAUUUCCAGCACUGUCUGUCCAGGAGCAAUGGGAGCAAGAGUCACUCCACAAGACCCUGGAGGCCUGAUAGGUAUCGAGAACCUUCCCUGCGAACUUCAGAGGAACUUCCAGCUGAUGCGAGAGCUGGACCAGAGGACGGAAGAUAAGAAAGCAGAGAUUGACAUCCUGGCUGCAGAGUACAUCUCCACGGUGAAGACGCUGUCUCCAGACCAGCGCGUGGAGCGCCUGCAGAAGAUCCAGAACGCCUACAGCAAGUGCAAGGAAUACAGUGACGACAAAGUGCAGCUGGCCAUGCAGACCUACGAGAUGGUGGAUAAACACAUUCGAAGGCUUGAUGCAGACCUGGCGCGCUUUGAGGCAGAUCUGAAGGACAAGAUGGAGGGCAGUGAUUUUGAAAGCUCCGGAGGGCGAGGGUUAAAAAAAGGCCGGGGUCAGAAAGAAAAAAGAGGGUCCCGGGGCCGAGGCAGGAGGACAUCAGAGGAAGACACACCAAAGAAAAAGAAGCACAAAGGAGGUGGCAACAGCGUUCUGAGUCUUCCUGCUCCUUCCUGCUCGGAACCUGAAGGCCCUGUCCCGACCGUGCCUUUUCUGCGUGAAAGUGGGACUCCUCCUGGUCUCUUCCUCACCCAGUGCUGUUUCUCAAGGUGGCAGUGCUGCUCCUGUCCCAUUGCAAGACGUCGAGACAGGCUGGUAAGGCCAGCUCUGAAGCUGGGCUCUGACGUCCAAGGCGCCAAGGAGGCCCCUUCCAGAGGGACAGGAGGAUGGUGCAGCCAUCAAAUCUGGCCAGCGCCCUCGAACCUGGUGAUGCUGAGACACAGGUCAAGUGGCAGCUCAAGAUGUCAGGUCGGGCUUUGCGGACAGAAUUGGACUCGGCGCAGAAGAGGAGGGCGUCAGCGUUUCGGGGACGGUUGGCAGCAGAGGGUGCUGCCCUGCUCUCCGUGGGUGAGAGGUGACUCGAGGAGACCGCAGGAGCCCCUUGGAGGUGAAGCCACAGGUGGCAUCCCGGAAUCGGCAGGAGGCUGAGACGUAGACCCUUGCGUGCUGCUGUCAGAGGAGAGACCCGAAGACUACUUGAGACUGUUGCUUGAAAGCAGUGUCGGCAGCACCUGGACCUGGACUUGUGACGCUGAUGGAUUUCAGCUCUAAAGAGAAACUCCUGUCUAUUCCCAGACAGAGAGAAAGAGCAGAAGAGCAGACUACCUGCAAAGGACAGACUUAGGUCUGAGUUCACUGACACCAUCCUGUCCGUGCACCCCUCUGACGUGCUGGACAUGCCCGUGGACCCGAACGAACCCACGUACUGCCUUUGCCACCAGGUCUCCUAUGGGGAGAUGAUUGGCUGUGACAAUCCAGACUGUCCAAUUGAGUGGUUUCACUUUGCCUGCGUGGACCUUACCACGAAACCCAAAGGAAAAUGGUUCUGUCCACGGUGUGUCCAGGAAAAGAGGAAGAAGAAGUAGGAGGAGCUGUGUGCCCGGAUCCGAGGAGCAAGUUAAUCUAUCCCUUCAUUCGUGUCGCAAUAUUUCCCUUCCUUUUAAAACUACCUUGUUCGGUUGAUACUUAGUAACUCCGUGGCCAGUUGAAGCGCUGGAUGUUUCCUAGAACAAGAACCACCAAACCCUGUUCGCACAGAAGGGCGACCUUGCAGGGACUCGCCGCCGCGACCUUAGUGUGGCUUUUACAGGACUCCCCCCCGAGCAUCAUUGGGGACCCCGGCGGACGUGGGCGGGCGCUCGUGAGCUCGGGCUGCCCGGCCGGGCGUGCGGGCGGGGACGUGGUAACCUGGUCCACGGAGAGCGGCGCCACCCUCGCGUAGCUUUCCUGUGGUUCUCCAGGACUGUUCGCUACAGCCCGGGCUCCGCGCGCCCCACCCGCUGGAGCACACCUGCCACUGAGAGGCGCGGGUGGGGCCACUGCCGUGGCGGCCGGCUGCCCUCCUCACACUCAGCUCCGCGCCGCCUCCGGCCACCGCGCACUCCCGCUUGGGGCGCCUCUGACGGGCCCAGGAGGGCUGGGGGCUCUUCCCCGGAGGAAGCGGCCUCCGCUUCGCUGUGCGCCGCCUUUUUAGCUUGGACUUCAGUCCUCCCUCGGGGGACUCACCUCUGGAGUAAACGGCUCUUCAUUAGCUUGGAGUAGCUGUAGGUCCUGUGACCAGCACCCACGAGACCCUGCGCGACAGCUGGGCUGAUGCUCCGUUUCUCUGGGAAUUGGUGAUUUUUUACUGUGAAGAUGAAAUUAUCCUAAUAGCAUGAAGAUCGUGGGUCUGUGUGUCUGUGAAGUGAGUCCCGUCUGCCAGGAGCUGACGAACCACGAAUGCUUCUGCCUGUGCUGCGCGUUCCCAGGCCCGCAGCUCCCGUUCAAGGGGACUCCGAUGUGAAUUUGUUGUGAAUUUAUUGUGCCACAAUAGCAGUUCUGGAAUGAAGCUAGGAAACUCGAGUGUGCUUUUUGUUUAAUUAGCGUUCCCCAAGCUGAGCCGGAGCCAUCCUUUCGGUGGUAGUUGGGGAAGGCCGUGCAGAUUUGCUCUGUUGUGAUGCGUUGGUGACGGUGCCCAGCCUGCGGUUCCCGACAGCAUCGCAGGCGCUCGGAAAUCCUCUCCUGUGCCUUUAGAGGAAGGAGAGGAGUCCUGAGGAAUGCAGGGAAGCCUGUUUCUGUCCUCACACCACAGAAAGAAACCUGAAGGAAAACUGAGACGUGAGGUUCCCGAUUUAAGAAAAGCCUGGUUUUCUUCAUGGUGGGGGGCCAUUUGGAAUGACAGCCUCACUUCCUUCUGAUGGCUACAUCUGUAUCUUUUCCUCCUGUGUUUAAUGUUUCACUAGGGAGAGGAAAUAAAGCAGAAGGAACGUGUGAA